AAGUUUGUAAUGAUUGUAAUAGAAGUCAAGUUGGCAACCCUCUGUAAUUGGUGACAUUGUCGACACCUGGCAACCCCCGGCUGCGACUCGAGGAGGUGAGGUUACCCGCUGAAGGUAGUCAGUGUCUACAUGGGAGUGACUGAGUAAGGGUGUAGCAGCUCUGUGUCCUGGAUCGUACCAUGUGGUUUGGUGGUCUUCGUUAUGGACAAAUAAAUUGAUACCACUACCUAAUAAGUUUAAAGCCAAAGAAACCUCUCCCACCACAGGGGAGGGGUGUUUCCUGUUUACUGGAGCAUGAAAAGGUAAGAUGGGCAGUUUCCGGUUGAAACCUGCAAUGUAGUCGUGGUGAUGAUGCCUUGUGGUUGGUGCAUGACCGUUCACGAGGCUUUGCUAGUCUACUCCUUCUACACAAGGAAGGUGAUCGUCCACGCUUUCUCUGCAAAUUGGGUAGUUCCAGAGGAGGGUUGGUGUGACUCUUGCGUCGGGAGAAUUGUAAAGUAGAUCCUGAAUUUCCUGAGGACUAAGACCAUGUAUAAACCUGCAUGUUCGUUGACGAUUUCUUUAUAUAGACACCGGUAAAUCGGCAACUAACUAGUUCGUCUCCAGACUGACGGAUUGUGGUAAAUGUACUUUACUAAGAGCAAUAAUGGAAGGAUUAGUGAAGGAACUAGUGAAUCUAGUUAAAGGCGAGGACAGAGCUGGAUUCGCUACGGGAGGUGGUACGACAGCUGAAACGUCUUCAGAAAGAAGCAAAGGAGGCGACCAUUAUUAAAAACCUCGUCUUGGCAAGUUGUAAAGAAUGGAUGUUAAGACCUUGGCAAAACACACCUAAUAGCCCAAGGACUUCAAAACACAUUUGAUGUGUUAGAGGACGAGUGCUGUGGUGAACCUGUAGUUCAAAGAGGCGAAGGCAAAGCAACGAAGAGCAUUGAAGCGCAGGUCCCUCAAAGUGCCCUAAAGUGAGGAACGACUGAGGGAUUCCCAGGAAUGGUUAGUGUUCAAGAUUGAUCGUAUUUGAAGGCGUUACUGGAAUUAUUCUUCACUUGAUGGAAAUCAAUAAAUAACACUUCAGAGAAAUGAGAGCUAGAAAGUGGAAUAAGUAAAAUUUUGUAUCGGUGCAUAACAUUCUGCUGUUUAGAUAACGAUGUGCAGAAUACCCCCGUUGAAAAGUAGAGGUGCAACAGGUACUCUGAGAGAACUCU